UAGGGAACGGCACAGCCGCAGAUCCGACGCGCCGUGUGUUUGCACGGCUUGGGAAUGCGGCAGUGC
rnacentral:ncRNA from 1 species